GGGUGCGAUCAUACCAGCGUUAAUGCACCGGAUCCCAUCAGGACUCCGCAGUUAAGCGCGCUUGUCCUAGAGUAGUACUGGGAUGGGUGACCUCCCGGGAAGUUCUAGUGUUGCACCCUC
rnacentral:rRNA from 1 species